AUUCUUAUGCGUGGUGGGGUUUGGGAAGCAAUGGGCUAAGCCGCUGCUUGUUUCAGUGAUGAGGAAACCAGCCGGGGGAGAAGGGGCAGUUCGCCAAAGGCUGCACAGUGAAGUGGUGGUUGAGCCAGCUGUGCUGACUCCUGGUGCAGUGCUCCUUCCUAGUGCCCUGCCAGCCACCUCCUCAGGCUGUGAGGCAAGCAUGGGCAAUUCAGAACUCCAAGGUGUUCCAGGAGUCACUUCCAAAAUUAGGUUACUGCAGAUUAGCUUCCACGCUCGGGAGUCUGAGAACCCCAGCCCACUUCAGAGGCCCUCCCCUUUUCCAGGUUCCCUAUAAAGGUUGCCCCUUCACCCUUAGAAAUUCGUGGCUAUCCAUGGGCCUCCUGGAUCUGUGAAUUUCUGACUAGCAGGCAGAGCUUCUGGCAGGGUCGCCUAAAGACGACUCCCACACCAGGCAGGGAACCUCGGCGCAGCAGUGGAAAGGAUCGUCUGGCCAGGGCUCCUCAGGGGUUAAGAGAGGUGCAGGCCACUGACAAUUUAAAAACGGAAGAUGCCAAAACAGGCAUAGGCUU
rnacentral:lncRNA from 10 species